GAGACCUUACCCACUCAAUUCCGAGAGCAAUCAGCUAAUAGGAAUGAGUUUGGUCAACCUAGGUCGUUCGAGGAAUUUGUGUGGCUCUCAAACUUGUCUGGGUUUGCUUCUAAAAAGAAGGAAAACGAGGGCUAUUAGCUCAGGUGGUUAGAGCGCACCCCUGAUAAGGGUGAGGUCCCUGGUUCGAGUCCAGGAUGGCCCACCUUCGGAACGCUCAAAGAGAUUUGUCUCUUUAAAUCGGUUCUCUGAAAGAGAAUCAAAAGUUUUGCCUUCCAAGAAGAAAUAACGUGAGUUCAGCAACUUCUAACGAUUCAGAAGACUGCUGAACUAAUGUUCAGCCAGAACCUUGAAAACUGCAUAGCAACAAAAGCCAAAGCAAGGUAGUCGAGAGUCAACAGCGAUC
rnacentral:tRNA from 1 species